rnacentral:rRNA from 1 species
CUACGUGCCAGCAGCCGCGGUAAUACGUAGGUCCCGAGCGUUGUCCGGAUUUAUUGGGCGUAAAGCGAGCGCAGGCGGUUAGAUAAGUCUGAAGUUAAAGGCUGUGGCUUAACCAUAGUACGCUUUGGAAACUGUUUAACUUGAGUGCAAGAGGGGAGAGUGGAAUUCCAUGUGUAGCGGUGAAAUGCGUAGAUAUAUGGAGGAACACCGGUGGCGAAAGCGGCUCUCUGGUCUGUAACUGACGCUGAGGCUCGAAAGCGUGGGGAGCGAACAGGAUUAGAUACCCUGGUAGUCCACGCCGUAAACGAUGAGUGCUAGGUGUUGGAUCCUUUCCGGGAUUCAGUGCCGCAGCUAACGCAUUAAGCACUCCGCCUGGGGAGUACGACCGCAAGGUUGAAACUCAAAGGAAUUGACGGGGGCCCGCACAAGCGGUGGAGCAUGUGGUUUAAUUCGAAGCAACGCGAAGAACCUUACCAGGUCUUGACAUCCCGGUGCCCGUCCUAGAGAUAGGAUUUUG